CAGCCUCCUCACUGCUGAUCAACCUGCUGGAGCUGACCUCUGUGGCCUUGGCUUCUUCUCACGACUCGACAUGCUGCUGGAAUCUGUUCUCAGGGUUUCCUGGAUCUGCCUCCUGCUCCUGGGCUCUGGAGCUGGCUACCCUUUCAUAAUUAAAGGUCAAACAGGUUCUGGAGGAGGCUCUGGAGGAUCUGGUGGCUCUGGAGGAGGAUCUGGAUC